UGAGGAAUAUUGCGCAAUGGGCGAAAGCCUGACGCAGCGACGCCGCGUGGAGGAUGAAGGUCUUCGGAUUGUAAACUUCUGUUAAGUGGGAAGAAAGAGCUGCUUUUAAUAGAAGCAGUUAAUGACGGUACCAUUAAAGAAAGCACCGGCUAAACUCGUGCCAGCAGCCGCGGUAAUACGAGUGGUGCAAGCGUUAUUCGGAAUAAUUGGGCGUACAGGGUGUGUAGGCGGUAUGUUAAGUCUGUUGUUAAAGACUCCGGCCUAA
rnacentral:rRNA from 1 species